GAUGAAGAACGCAGCGAAAUGCGAUAAGUAAUGUGAAUUGCAGAAUUCAGUGAAUCAUCGAGUCUUUGAACGCACAUUGCGCCCCCUGGUAUUCCGGGGGGCAUGCCUGUCCGAGCGUCAUUUCAACCCUCAAGCUCUGCUUGGUGUUGGGCCCUGCCCGCUGCGGCCGGCCCUAAAGACAGUGGCGGUGCCGCCUGGCCCUGAGCGUAGUACAUCUCUCGCUCCAGUGCCCGGUGGUAGCCUGCCAGAACCCCAACUCUCGUGGUUGACCUCGGAUCAGGUAGGGAUACCCGCUGAACUUAAGCAUAUCAAUAAGCGGAGGA
rnacentral:misc_RNA from 1 species